AUGUCGAUUCGUUCUCUCGUCGCCUCCAGGCUCGCCAGGUCCGGCCACGCCCUCCCCGCGGCCACCGCCGCGACCAUCUCCCAGGCGCCCAGGGCCCAGCACGCCGCGUCUCCGCUGCUCUCGGGGACUCGUGCUUUCAGCUCAAGGGCUCUAUGGAAGGGGGCGUUCGUCGACGCGUUCCUGCAAAGAAUCAAGAACAAUAGGGAGAAUCUGAGCGGCAGGAAGAUCUGGUCUCGCAGGUCCUCCAUCCUGCCGGAGUUCGUCGGCUCCUCCGUGCUCAUCUACAACGGCAAGACUCACGUCCGUUGCAAGAGCACCGAAGGCAAGGUCGGCCAUAAGCUCGGGGAGUUUGCUUUCACGCGCAGACGGAGGCCUCAUCGGGCCAUCACGGGGAAGGCCGGCGGUCAAGGAAAGGGCAAGAAGAAGUAA
rnacentral:rRNA from 1 species